rnacentral:rRNA from 1 species
UGGGGAAUCUUCCGCAAUGGACGAAAGUCUGACGGAGCAACGCCGCGUGAGUGAUGACGGCCUUCGGGUUGUAAAGCUCUGUUAAUCGGGACGAAUGGUUCUUGUGCAAAUAGUGCGAGGAUUUGACGGUACCGGAAUAGAAAGCCACGGCUAACUACGUGCCAGCAGCCGCGGUAAUACGUAGGUGGCAAGCGUUGUCCGGAAUUAUUGGGCGUAAAGCGCGCGCAGGCGGAUUGGUCAGUCUGUCUUAAAAGUUCGGGGCUUAACCCCGUGAUGGGAUGGAAACUGCCAAUCUAGAGGAUCGGAGAGGAAAGUGGAAUUCCUAGUGUAGCGGUGAAAUGCGUAGAUAUUAGGAAGAACACCAGUGGCGAAGGCGACUUUCUGGACGAAAACUGACGCUGAGGCGCGAAAGCCAGGGGAGCGAACGGG